GACGAACGCUGGCGGCGUGCCUAAUACAUGCAAGUAGAACGCUGAAGGAGGAGCUUGCUUCUCUGGAUGAGUUGCGAACGGGUGAGUAACGCGUAGGUAACCUGCCCGGUAGCGGGGGAUAACUAUUGGAAACGAUAGCUAAUACCGCAUAAGAGUAGAUGUUGCAUGACAUUUGCUUAAAAGGUGCAAUUGCAUCACUACCAGAUGGACCUGCGUUGUAUUAGCUAGUUGGUGGGGUAACGGCUUACCAAGGCGACGAUACAUAGCCGACCUGAGAGGGUGAUCGGCCACACUGGGACUGAGACACGGCCCAGACUCCUACGGGAGGCAGCAGUAGGGAAUCUUCGGCAAUGGACGGAAGUCUGACCGAGCAACGCCGCGUGAGUGAAGAAGGUUGUCGGAUCGUAAAGCUCUGUUGUAAGAGAAGAACGAGUGUGAGAGUGGAAAGUUCACACUGUGACGGUAUCUUACCAGAAAGGGACGGCUAACUACGUG
rnacentral:rRNA from 1 species